UACGUAGGGAGCAAGCGUUGUCCGGAAUCAUUGGGCGUAAAGCGCGCGUAGGUGGCCCCAUAAGUCCGCUGUGAAAGUCAAAGGCUCAACCUUUGAAAGCCGGUGGAUACUGUGGGACUAGAGUACGGAAGAGGCGAGUGGAAUUCCUGGUGUAGCGGUGGAAUGCGCAGAUAUCAGGAGGAACACCAAUAGCGAAGGCAGCUCGCUGGGACGUACUGACACUGAGGCGCGAAAGCGUGGGGAGCGAAACAGGG
rnacentral:rRNA from 1 species